AUAGAGGAUCUUUGUCAUCAGUGACACCCAGUUGCUGAUAUAUGAGCGUCUGGGCAGAAUCUCAAUCAAGAGAUUCCGGAGAUGUAAUUCUUAGCGACUGGCAGCAGCUAGUGCUCUUUAGAUGACGAUGUGCCUGUUUGUCUG
rfam:Octopus bimaculoides Scaffold100425_contig_88, whole genome shotgun sequence.